rnacentral:rRNA from 1 species
UACGGGGGGAGCAAGCGUUGUUCGGAUUUACUGGGCGUAAAGGCGCGUAGGCGGCCUAGCACAAGUCAGUUGUGAAAUCUCCGAGCUUAACUCGGAAAGGUCAACUGAUACUGUGCGGCUAGAGUGCGGAAGGGGCAACUGGAAUUCUUGGUGUAGCGGUGAAAUGCGUAGAUAUCAAGAGGAACACCUGCGGCGAAGGCGGGUUGCUGGGCCGACACUGACGCUGAUGCGCGAAAGCUAGGGGAGCGAACGGG